rnacentral:rRNA from 1 species
UAGUCCACGCUGUAAACGAUGAUCACUCGUUGUUGGCAAUAAAUCGUCAGCGACUGAGCGAAAGCAUUAAGUGAUCCACCUGGGGAGUACGUUGGCAACAAUGAAACUCAAAGGAAUUGACGGGGGCCCGCACAAGCGGUGGAGCAUGUGGUUUAAUUCGAUGAUACGCGAGGAACCUUACCAGGGCUUAAAUGUAAGUUGCAUUAGCUAGAGAUAGCUAUUUCUUCGGACUACUUACAAGGUGCUGCAUGGUUGUCGUCAGCUCGUGCCGUGAGGUGUCAGGUUAAGUCCUAUAACGAGCGCAACCCCUGUUGUUAGUUGCCAGCGAGUCAAGUCGGGAACUCUAACAAGACUGCCAGUGCAAACUGUGAGGAAGGUGGGGAUGACGUCAAAUCAUCACGGCCCUUACGUCCUGGGCUACACACGUGCUACAAUGGUAGGUACAGAGAGCAGCCACAACGCGAGUUGGAGCGAAUCUAUAAAACCUAUCAC